rnacentral:lncRNA from 1 species
UGACUUGGUAUCAUCACACUACACAUAAAAACACAAAGAUAACUCAUUUUCAUAACCACACAAAUCCAUCCCUGCCAGGUCGCUUCCCAGUUGUGCCCACUUCCCUCGCACUCAAGCAGAUGUAACUCUCCAUCUCUCUUUUUCACAAAAUUAUUAUAAUAUUUCCGUAAAUCCCAUUUGCAGAUAACGAUAGAGGAGCGUGAUUUUUGCUGAUAUUACGGUUCAGUGUGAUUGACUGACGUUGAAUCUCGUCCGUUUCUUACCUUAAUCUGCUCAGUCAUAGGAUAUCAUUUCUGGGUUUUUUGUUCUUAUCUAUCAUCUAUCACACCCUUCAAGAUUUUAUAUUUCUAAACUUAUAUUUUCACUGUUUAGUCUCGAGGUAAAAAAAGGAGGAGGGUUGCAUAGAAAAUUCUGUGUAGUGUGUCGAAAGAGAUUAAUGAGACGAAGUUAAACUUAUUUGGCAGAAUUUUAUAUACAAAUAUGGCAGUAUGGUAAAAUUCUAUGAGCCAACGCCUUAUCAUAUUCUUGAUCUACAAACAAAAAAGAUACCAUGUUCUAUGCUCUACACAAACCCAAAAAAGUAAUUCUCAAUCUUAUUUUACCCUUCAACUUUCCCGCUCUCUCUCCAUCUCCCUCCGUCUAUACUUUUUCUCUGGCAUUUAUGUUUUUUGUGUUUAUGUGUAUAACUCAGAUGGCAUUCUGCUUCUUCAUUAUCUGAGUGGAAAUUUCCAGAUUCUGAUGAUUUUUGGAGGACAUAAGAGCANNN